UCUGAAUCUGCGAACGGCUCCGCAAACCAGUUGUAAACCACAGCAAGCCUGCGACGGUCGGACUCCGGUCUGGCCUGAGCGAUACGGAUAACCCUGGUAAUUCUAAGGCUAAUACGUGUAUGUAACACCCGGUGGACCGGCUUCGGCUGGGAAAUCGGGAGACGAGUGAUGGAAUGUUUGGAUUACCAGGAACGGGCACUCGCCUUGACCGCGCUACAAAGGAUGAACCUCCGGGGGACUCCCAGCGGCUCUUGCGCGGUGCUUCUGACCUAUCAACUAGAUGGCAGCGUAAAGGACAUGCUAUGGU
rnacentral:rRNA from 1 species